rnacentral:rRNA from 1 species
UAGGGAAUCUUCCGCAAUGGACGCAAGUCUGACGGAGCAACGCCGCGUGAGUGAAGAAGGAUUUCGGUUCGUAAAACUCUGUUGUUAGAGAAGAACAGCGCAUAGAGUAACUGUUAUGCGUGUGACGGUAUCUAACCAGAAAGCCACGGCUAACUACGUGCCAGCAGCCGCGGUAAUACGUAGGUGGCAAGCGUUGUCCGGAUUUAUUGGGCGUAAAGCGAGCGCAGGCGGUUAGAAAAGUCUGAAGUGAAAGGCAGUGGCUCAACCAUUGUAGGCUUUGGAAACUGUUUAACUUGAGUGCAGAAGGGGAGAGUGGAAUUCCAUGUGUGGCGGUGAAAUGCGUAGAUAUAUGGAGGAACACCGGUGGCGAAAGCGGCUCUCUGGUCUGUAACUGACGCUGAGGCUCGAAAGCGUGGGGAGCGAACAGG